UUUGCGCCACGAAUACCCUCGUCGACUUUGACGAUCGAUUCUUUUUCUUCGGUGAAGCCGAGCAGGAAAAGAGUCUCGCGAGAUCGAAGACCUGCCGCCGAUCCAAGCAUCGGAAUCGCCGGCUGGCAAACUUCCCGUGGGAUUGCAGCUCCCAAGACAUUUCUGCGACCUCCGAAUCCUUCUGCCAUAGCAAUCGUGGCCUUUAUCUACAUCCAGGUGCGUCUUUUCACUGCGCAGUCUGAGUAUGCAGAGAGCUUGGCUGCUGUUAAACAAACAUAUAUAAAGAUGAAGAAUCUGCUCAACUGAAGACCCUACUUCAAGAUCUUAAAAGUAUGUUUUUCAUUAAUUUUUUUGUUUGUUAUCAUCUAAGAGGAGUUUCUAUUAAUUUAUCUGCAGUGAAUUUGAUAAUGCUACACUAUUUGUUUUGUGCUUAGAAUUUGCAUGAACCAUAAACCAGAAGUUUGAACAAUAGUUAAUACGGCUGGUCAGAUAUCUUAGCAUAAACUGCACGUCCUCAAUUAUUUACUGUUCAAGUAUGAUCAACCCAAGACUCACGUCUUUGUCUAAACCUUCCUAGUGUGUAGUGACAAAGUGAGAGAGAGAGAGGGGUAGAGGGUCAGAUUGCAUUACCAUGGAUGCAAUAUGUGGUCGAACAAGUUAUUAAACUUAGUUUGAUUGUUAUUUUUGAAAAUGGAUCUUAUUGGCUGGUCUAAUAACACAAAAUCAAUCAAACUGGUCAAAAGUUGGAAAUGAGAUUCUACCAUUUCCGAAAAUGAACCAUAUUUAAAAUUAGAAAAAGAAACACAAAGCUGAAAAAAAGAGAAGAAUAUUGCACCUAAAUUAAAAAAAAAAUCUAAACGUACAGAAGCUUCAGUAUAUCUGUACUACUACAAUUGCGUAUGUAUGUGUAACAAGACAGAAAGAGGCCAUGAAGAUUCGAGUACCAUGGAAGACAGAAGUUAUUUUUUAAUUCUUUCUUCAGCUCCAUUAUUUAUCUUUCUUCCCCUUGUCAUUUAUCUACCUGUUUUGUUUUCUAUGUUGUAAUAAAAGGGCCUGAGAGACCCCUAUGAAAAGAAAUUGGUUUGAAUUAAAUAUGUCUGAUGGGAUGGUUUUCAUUUCUAUUCUA